CAGGAGAUACAACUUGUGCUUUAUGGGACAUCGAAACUGCCCAGCAGACCACCACAUUCACUGGGCAUUCUGGAGAUGUGAUGAGUCUUUCUCUGAGUCCUGACAUGAGGACUUUUGUUUCUGGUGCUUGUGAUGCUUCUUCCAAAUUAUGGGACAUUCGAGAUGGAAUGUGUAGACAGUCUUUCACGGGACAUGUCUCAGAUAUUAAUGCUGUCAGUGGGGGAAUUUGGAGACAGGCAAGCAUAGAGGGAAGAUGAUGUGAAGAGACACAGGAGAAGACAGUCAUCUACAGGACAGAGAGAAGAUUACACAUCUUUCUGUCACAGUCCUCAGAUAUCUUGGUUUCAAGUUUCUAGCCUCCAGAACUGUGAGACAAUACAUUCCUUUUGUUUAAGCACCCAGCUUGUGGUGCUUUGUUAUGGCAGCCUUAGCAAUGAACAUAUCUGGCUAGAGGUUUUUUUAUUUUAUCUAUGUAUCUAUGUAUGUAUAUAUGUAUGUAUGUAUGUAUGUAUCUAUCUAUCUAUCUAUCUAUCUAUCAAUAAAUAAAUCAACUAUCUGCUCAG
rnacentral:sRNA from 1 species